UACGGGGGGGCAAGCGUUGUUCGGAAUUACUGGGCGUAAAGGGCGCGUAGGCGGCUCGUCAAGUCGGGCGUGAAAUCUCCAGGCUUAACCUGGAAAAGUCGUUCGAUACUGUUGAGCUAGAGUGUGGAAGAGGCUACUGGAAUUCCGUGUGUAGCGGUGAAAUGCGUAGAUAUACGGAGGAACACCCGUGGCGAAGGCGGCUCUCUGGGACGGUACUGACGCUGAGACGCGAAAGCGUGGGGAGCGAACAGG
rnacentral:rRNA from 1 species